UAGAGUUUGAUCCUGGCUCAGGAUGAACGCUAGCUACAGGCUUAACACAUGCAAGUCGAGGGGCAUCAUGGAGUUUGCUUGCAAACUCUGAUGGCGACCGGCGCACGGGUGAGUAACGCGUAUCCAACCUUCCCUAUAGUAGAGGAUAGCCCGGCGAAAGUCGGAUUGAUACUCUAUGUUUUCCGUUGCAGACAUCUAAGAUGGAACAAAGGCUUGCCGCUAUAGGAUGGGGAUGCGUCUGAUUAGGUAGUCGGCGGGGUAACGGCCCAUCGAGCCAUCGAUCAGUAGGGGUUCUGAGAGGAAGGUCCCCCACAUUGGAACUGAGACACGGUCCAAACUCCUACGGGAGGCAGCAGUGAGGAAUAUUGGUCAAUGGGCGAGAGCCUGAACCAGCCAAGUAGCGUGCAGGACGACGGCCCUAUGGGUUGUAAACUGCUUUUAUGCGGGGAUAAAGUUCACUACGUGUAGUGUUUUGUAGGUACCGCAUGAAUAAGGACCGGCUAAUUCCGUGCCAGCAGCCGCGGUAAUACGGAAGGUCCGGGCGUUAUCCGGAUUUAUUGGGUUUAAAGGGAGCGCAGGCGGAGGAUUAAGCGUGACGUGAAAUGUCCCGGCUCAACCGUGGAACUGCGUCGCGAACUGGUUUUCUUGAGUGAGUGCGACGUCGGCGGAAUUCGUGGUGGUACCGGUGAAAAUGCUUUAAAUAUCACGAAGAACCCAGAUUGCGAAAGGCAGCCGACGAGUCCUUAACUGACGCUAAAGCUCGAAAGUGCGGGUAUCGAACAGGAUUAGAUACCCUGGUAGUCCGCACGGUAAACGAUGGAUGC
rnacentral:rRNA from 1 species